rnacentral:lncRNA from 1 species
GAUAAACGAGACUCCUCCGUUAGUAAGGAUGACAAGGAAAGGUAGGAAAAGAAACCGCUCUCGAGUCCCGCUGGGGGAGCCCGCCCUGUGCCACACGCCAGUCAGAACCAGCCACCUCCCCUCCCCCUCACCCGGCCUCUGCCCCAGCCUUGUGCUUACGACCUCUGUAGCUCCCCAGUUCCUUACCCAGUGCUUACCCCGCAAGUCAGUACCAAGCGGCCCUCCCUGCACUCCGUGGUACAGAGCAGAUGGUGACCGUAGCCUGUCCCUAAGACACAGUGCAGCAAGACACACAAGCCACCCAAAGUCACUGAAACGUUAGCGUGUCCAAGUAGACAUCUUCCUGUAGACAGCCGGUCGGAGCUUGGAGCCAGACACACACAGCAUGAAUCUGCCAUGUUUGCUUUUGAGUCGUGAAGUCCAUCCAGUCACCCAUAGGUGGUUUUUUGUUUGGUUUGGUUUGGUUUCUCUCUUCUCUCCCUUUCCAUGCUCUCCUAGUAAGUCAUGUUUGCAUCACCUCAUCCUAUUUUUCUCAAGCGUCAUCCGAACUCGAAACCCUGGGGCUUGUAGGUAAUCAGUACAGUUUCGUGGUUUUUUUCUUUCGUUUCGUUUCGUUUCGUUUUUAACUAAUCCGGAUGUAGACCUUGGCAACAGGGAAGCCUUGCUUUGCAGUUGCAUUUCCAGGGAACUGUUGAUUUUUACUAACCAUUGUUGUCUGCAUACUAACCCUUUUCUCAAAAAUCUGUCUUAAAAGGAAAAAUACCUCAGUAUUUUUAGGCAGAAUGCCAUAGACAUUUUCUUUGUUGUCUUUAGGCUGUUUUCAUUUUGAAUGGGCUGAUAAAAGUUACAUCAAUGUACACUUGGCAAAAGAAAAAAAGAGAAAGAAAAGUAAAGAAAAACAAACCCC